rnacentral:rRNA from 1 species
GAUCCUGGCUCAGGAUGAACGCUGGCGGCGUGCUUAACACAUGCAAGUCGAACGAUUGAAGCUGGAGCUUGCUCCGGCUGAUUUAGUGGCGGACGGGUGAGUAACGCGUGGGUAACCUGCCUCAUACAGGGGGAUAGCAGUUGGAAACGACUGGUAAAACCGCAUAAGCGCACGGUGUCGCAUGACACAGUGUGAAAACACUCCGGUGGUAUGAGAUGGACCCCGCGUCUGAUUAG